rnacentral:lncRNA from 1 species
CACAGCCUGCUAUAAGGUAGAGGAAGCAUAUGAGUCUCCUCAAAAUGGAUGUCCAAGGCUGACCCUUAUGCAGAAGGAAGCAUGGGAAGCAUAAAUGGGAUAUCAAGAGACGAUCUCAAGUAAAUUUGCAACACAAAACCCAACCAGCAACAAUUUGUUCAUGACAUCUUAAAACAUCAAAUUUCAAAACAGGACAUUUAAUGCAAAGAGCUCAAACUAUAAUAAUUGGUGAAUCAAAUAUUUUCUAUUGAAUUUAUCCUUUCAAUUGGUUGGUAUUUUCGUUUAUUCUCGUAUCUUUCAAUUGUCACCCAAAACUAACAUCUGAGAGAGCAUUGCACUUCUUAUCUUUAAAAGCACGAAUGGUGAACUAAAUCAAAGAAUAAGAAUCAGCAAUGAACUAAACAAAAACACACUUUUUACGAACAUUAUUCGCACAAAAAUUAAAACUGUAUUGAGAAACUCACCACCCCAUUUCUAAUGAAUGACGUAUGAUGAUAGGAACAUCAUACGGUGAAUUGCAUAUAAAGUAAAACAUCAAGUAUACCUCGAGGCGACAUUAGAUACGAUCAUUAUCCAAUCUUCAUCUUUGACACCAAGAGCACUCAGCAUCUCAGAAUUCCUCAUCUCCCUACCCUCACAUAGCAACUUCUGCUGCUGAAGUAGUACCCG